GUAGGAAUUCCUUUUAUUAUCCCAGUUGUUAUUUCUACCUUGCUCUGCUGUAUAAGAUACUCCAUAUAGGAGGUCAAGCUUGAAAAAUGUAUAAUACCCGACUUGUCGAGACUCAUGUUAAUAAAGUUGUCAUGAUAUUUUCCCUGCUUCAAAGUGCUCCCUGAGGUAUUAGUUAACGGUAGUCUGUAUUGAUUUUUUUUGUACAGAAUUUGACCAUUUGUGCAGUCUUUGGUUCGUGAUGGAUCGACCUUAUAAAGUCUUAAUGAUUACCCUUUCCAACAAGCAACAGUGGGGUUGUUCUGCUCAAUCCUGCUAUUUUUUAGUCCAUUAAUUUGCUACUGAAUAUAUACAGUUCUUGCAAGAGAACGAACAUAAGUGUAUUUGGGUGAGGCACCAGAUACAACAUCUCACUUUUCGUUUUGGAAGUUAUUUUUAUUUAACUCCAAGAGGUCACCAGCUGAAGGUAUGGUACAUUCUGAUCUUUUUGUUUGUCACUAAGCUUGACAACAUCUCACCAACUAUAGCAGUAAUGUGAUUCAUUCUUUAGGUUGUGUUUGGCAAUGAAAUAGUAAUUUGGCUGCUGAGGUAUCAAGGCGGAAAAAGUUUAAUUCACCCCGAGAAGAGCCCUCCGAGAACAAUUGUUUUGGACUUUUGUGGUACUCUCAAGUGAGGGGGCUUUUGUGGUCUUGCUAAUAUAGAUAAACCAUAACCAUAUUUUAUAUGAUUCUCAACAUCCUUGGAGCGAAAGACAGUAACUGCAUAAUGAAGUUUAAAUCAUAU